ACACCUGUAUUGACAAUACUAUAUUGUAUUCAUACAGAAUCAGUUUGGUAUCAUUGUCUGUCUGUUCACUGAUUGCUGAAACUAAGAGCUACUUUGAUCUGUUUAGAUCUAAAGUAUCCAAAGUUGAGCUCUAAUGUUUCUUCACCCUUGUGUGUGUGAUAUGUGAUUUCCUACAUGCUGGCAGAGCAGAGCGGCUGUUUGUGCUCACAGAUGGUGACGGUGUGGAGAGACGGUGGUGUUUCCUCAGAAGAACUAGCAGAGUCACCAAGGGCACGAGUCCUUCUCACCACCUUGACUUGCUGACUGAUGCUCAUCUGCACUGCACAGAGGAAAUCAACUAACCGAGGAGUGUUUCUGAGUGAGGGAGAGAGGAGUCAUCAUCCAGGUAAAGUGACGUGGAUCAGUGGAUACACUUGUCUCCCCUUUAAAGGAGAUACUCUUAGAGAGAGACGAUCCGAGUCAUCCUUAAAUAUGGGCAGGAUAUCAGUCUUGGACUGUCUAACCUGCCGGAGCAGCACUGAAUGAUCACCACACAUGAGCAUGUUCCUGCAACAUUCAGCAUCUGAUCUGCCAUCUGUGUGCUUCUGCUUUUGUGUCAAAUGUCAACCAGCUGGAGAGGAAACUACACCAGUGUACUGGGAUGUUUCAGCAACACCUGCCAGAUGCUGUUCCUUCAUGGUGACAUCACCAGAGACAGCCCCGCCCACCUCAGGACCUCGCCAUUGAUCAUGAUGAUUAUAAUGAUGACAGCGAGCGGAACUAAGACUGUAAAAAUCCACGACCAGAAUGUUUAGAUGCUUUCUAAUUAUUAAUGAAUACUGAGAGCCUCUUUCUGUGUUUUGUCUGUUUUGGGUUUUUUUUACCUCAUUUGUUACUAACAAAGUUCAACAAACUCACACAGUUUACAUUCUGUAUGUUUCCAUCUUUACCAGCCACACUCUUAACUGCAAUUAAGAAAACAAACCGUAGAAAUCGUUGCUUUUCUCUUUUGUAAUUGAUGAUAAUUCAGUGAAUAUACUGCGCUGCUUCCUUUUGUUUCGUCUCACAUUGCUUUAAGUUUUUCAGUGUUCAGUUAUUUUUUACUGCUGUUUGAAUUCUCUGUAUGUUUGACCCUGUAGACUGUUUAAUGGACUGCUUGUCUUCCUGUUUGUAACCGCCGCCUGUU